rnacentral:rRNA from 1 species
CCUACGGGAGGCAGCAGUGGGGAAUCUUGCGCAAUGGGCGAAGGCCUGACGCAGCCAUGCCGCGUGGAUGAUGAAGGUCUUAGGAUUGUAAAAUCCUUUCACCGGUGAAGAUAAUGACUGUAGCCGGAGAAGAAGCCCCGGCUAACUUCGUGCCAGCAGCCGCGGUAAUACGAAGGGGGCUAGCGUUGCUCGGAAUUACUGGGCGUAAAGGGAGCGUAGGCGGACAUUUAAGUCAGAGGUGAAAUCCCGGAGCUUAACUUCGGAACUGCCUUUGAUACUGGGUGUCUUGAGUGUGAGAGAGGUAUGUGGAACUCCGAGUGUAGAGGUGAAAUUCGUAGAUAUUCGGAAGAACACCAGUGGCGAAGGCGACAUACUGGCUCAUUACUGACGCUGAGGCUCGAAAGCGUGGGGAGCAAACAGGAUUAGAUACCCUGGUAGUCCACGCCGUAAACGAUGAUUGCUAGUUGUCGGGAAGCUUGCUUCUCGGUGACGCAGCUAACGCAUUAAGCAAUCCGCCUGGGGGAGUACGGUCGCAGAUAAACUACAAGAAGUAGAGCGNGAGAGNGCGAGGACGACGACGAGGGAGAGG